rnacentral:rRNA from 1 species
GACGAACGCUGGCGGCGUGCUUAACACAUGCAAGUCGAGCGGUAAGGCCCUUUCGGGGGUACGACGAGCGGCGAACGGGUGAGUAACACGUGGGUGACCUGCCCUCAGCUCUGGGAUAAGCCCGGGAAACUGGGUCUAAUACCGGAUAUGACUUCAUGACGCAUGUUGUGGAGUGGAAAGCCUUGUGCGGCUGAGGAUGGGCCCGCGGCCUAUCAGCUUGUUGGUGGGGUGAUGGCCUACCAAGGCGACGACGGGUAGCCGGCCUGAGAGGGCGACCGGCCACACUGGGACUGAGAUACGGCCCAGACUCCUACGGGAGGCAGCAGUGGGGAAUCUUGCGCAAUGGGCGAAAAGCCUGACGCAGCGACGCCGCGUGAGGGAUGACGGCCU